rnacentral:rRNA from 1 species
AGUGAACGCUGGCGGUAGGCCUAACACAUGCAAGUCGAACGGCAGCACAGUAAGAGCUUGCUCUUACGGGUGGCGAGUGGCGGACGGGUGAGGAAUACAUCGGAAUCUACUUUUUCGUGGGGGGUAACGUAGGGAAAUUUACGCUAAUACCGCAUACGACCUACGGGUGAAAGCAGGGGAUCUUCGGACCUUGCGCGAUUGAAUGAGCCGAUGUCGGAUUAGCUAGUUGGCGGGGUAAAGGCCCACCAAGGCGACGAUCCGUAGCUGGUCUGAGAGGAUGAUCAGCCACACUGGAACUGAGACACGGUCCAGACUCCUACGGGAGGCAGCAGUGGGGAAUAUUGGACAAAGGGCGCAAGCCUGAUCCAGCCAUACCGCGUGGGUGAAGAAGGCCUUCGGGUUGUAAAGCCCUUUUGUUGGGAAAGAAAAGCAGCAGGUUAAUACCCCGCUGUUCUGACGGUACCCAAAGAAUAAGCACCGGCUAACUUCGUG